UGUUUAUACAAUACAUUAGUUGAUGAUUAAAUAAGAUAAGAUACGUUGUUUUCUUAUCAAAAUAGUCAGCGCGUACAGACUUCAUUGUUCAAAACGCAAUAUUUUUAAAGUUUAUUCCUCUUCCUUCUUCAAUAUAAUAAAUAACUUAAAACUAUACAUAUGGCCAACUUAACGCUUAAGCAAGCCAGACUGUUUAUAAAUAUAUAUUUGAAUUUGUUUAUAUAUAUUUCUUAAGACUGCUUGUGUUAUAUAUUCAUAUAAUAAUGUGUUAAAUAUUCGCAUAUAACCGUUCGCCAAUUUUAGUUUUUUUCUUACGAAAAAUCUAAAUUAUCCAUUAAACGAUAUCCCAUACAGCACCGAAAGAGUGGGUUAAAUAAAGUAACCUUAUAUUAUAAAGAUAGUUAUCUUACUUUGAAAAUUAAAGUAUGGUUGGUUUGUAUUUGUUCCAUAUGUCUGCAGUUUCUUGUUUCUCUCAAGAUUAUGAUGUCUUUCUCAUAAUUAUUCUUUUUUCUUCUUUCCUUCACUUAUAUUUUCUCCCUGGAAAAAAAAUCUAUUUUUUUUCAAUUUACCAUUCGUGUGCCUAUUCAUUAUCUCUUUAAUCUUUAUUCUUUAUCUGCGAUAAUAUAUCAAAUGCUUUAGCGCACUUUAGCUAUAUUUCUUAUUCAUAUGUCCAUUUGUUUCAUUAAUUUCUUACAACAUGUACAUGUAUAUAUCUAUCAAAAUUUAUAUUUAUACAUUUUCUAUAUUAUGCACAGCUCUAAAUUAAUAUGCAGUAUUGACAAUAUUGAUAUAUCUUGUUGACGAUAAGGAUCAAUUACGCGAAGAAUUGAAAGAUUUGGUAAAUGACAAUCGCACAGAGGAAAGCAAGUAUGAAGACAGUGAUGGCUCAAACCAUCAUAAGAAUCGUAAAUGAAGUGAUGAUGAGGAUUUUGAUGAUCGCUUGGAAGAUGAAGAUUAUGAUUUGAUUAAAGAAAAUUUAGGUGUUAGAUUUGAGAGGAAAUGUUUUAAACGUCUUCGAAGGAUUCAGGAUGAAGAAUCAGAGGAAGAGCAAGAAAAGGAAGCUGAAAGGGAUGCCAUCGCCAAUGAAUUAUUUGAAGGUUUUGGAGAUGUAUUACACGUACAUCAGAGACCUAUCCUGGAAAGGUUCUGUUCUUGUAUUUGCCACGCACUCGUUGUCGCCAUGAAUACAUGAUGUCCGAGGGCUUCAAAUUCCGCGGACAGAUGUUUGGUACAAUGAGCGACUUGUUGCGCUGGUUCAAGAAACAUUUCAGAGAUCCGGUCCCUAUUCCUAGUACACUACGCGGCGCGAUGACUUCUAGAACACCUUACACUGCUAUACCGGGAGCAGUCAGCGGUAAGUCUAUAUUAUUACCAUAAAUUGUAACUAUUUAAAAUAAAAUGUUAGAUUAUAUAUUUUAAAAUAUAUUUUACAUUUCAUUCUCUCUCUACACACAUACACACACAUACUGCAGUGAAUAUAUUAACAUUACACAAACAAACAGAUUAUGCAAACUAUAUUACAAAACAAAACAGAUGUCAUCUUAUUCUGCAUUAUUAGCUAUUUUACCAAGAACUCUAUCCAACGAGAUGAUUGAAAUUAUCUAUGAAUGGUUCUGUACAUUGUCAUUUUGAUUGUUACACAAAUGAAUCAAGAAGCAAUCCAACGAGUUGCGCAGAAUCUUUCGCAUCACAUGUUGCAUUUGCUGUCGCAAGUGGCGGAUCAGACACCACAUCAUUAUCUGCCAUACACCCCGGAGACGGCCGACGCCGCCGGUUGACGGCGGAGUGUAUCCGAAUAUACCAUACACGUCGUCUGGCCAGACCCUAUUCAUGACCUCGUACCAAAUGCCUCAUCACACAUCGCAUCAUGGCCAGCUUACUCCCAGAUACGGCCAACAAACACCAAGCUAUCAUCACGGACCCUUCGUGCAUCCGCCGCCAGCUUCGAUGAUACCCGGUCAUCACAGAUCCGUUCAAUCGCACAGACCUAUGCCACUCUUAUCCACUCCCUCCAGUGAUCCAACAGAUUGGAAAAAGGCCGAAGCGUGGGCAUGUCUAAAAAAGGUUCGUGUGUGAUAAUACCAAGAUGAUCAGCGUAUAACCAAAUUUUCACAGGAUCUUUAAAACCGUCGAACGCCGCAUCGAAUCUCGGUUUUAUAUCUACGAGCGUAAUGAAGACGUGAAGCUGCAUAUUUACGCCAUUAUCCUCUUCGGUCAUUUCGGUUCGUUUUCGAGCCAACGACAAACUAAUUAUUUCCUCUUUGAUUAUCUGCAUUUCACUAAAGAGAAUAAUGUAAUCGGUAUUCUCAGAAAACUCCGAUAUAUCUUUUAACGAAGUUUUGAUCGUGUUUGCAAUUAAUUCCUUGCGGUUGACGAUCACCUUGGCCAAUAUACUAUCCAUGUCCUUAAUGCCAUAAAACACACGAUAGUUUCAUCAGAUAGUAUAAUUUUAUAUUUUUUUUUGCAACUUCUGUAUUAGAUUGAUCAUUUCCCGCGCUGUAUAGCUCCUCGUCGAGAGUGAUGUCCAGGAGGAUUAGUAUGCUUCCCUUACUAUGAGCUUCAUAUUGCUCAAGUUAUUGCUCAACAAAUUAGAUUAGAAACAAAAAAUUUCGCGUUGUCGCGUAUUUAUCUACAAUCCUCUAAUUUUACCUCAGGAGGAUUUUAACUCACUUUCUUUU